rnacentral:rRNA from 1 species
GGUUAAGUUAGAAAGGGCGCACGGUGGAUGCCUUGGCACUAGGAGCCGAAGAAGGACGGGACUAACACCGAUAUGCUUUGGGGAGCUGUACGUAAGCGUUGAUCCAGAGAUUUCCGAAUGGGGGAACCCACUAUCUUUAGUCGGAUAGUAUCCUUACGUGAAUACAUAGCGUGAGGAAGGCAGACCCAGGGAACUGAAACAUCUAAGUACCUGGAGGAAGAGAAAGAAAAAUCGAUUUCCUGAGUAGCGGCGAGCGAAACGGAAAGAGCCCAAACCAAGAAGCUUGCUUCUUGGGGUUGUAGGACACUCUAUACGGAGUUACAAAAGAAAGUUAUAAAUGAAGCGGUCUGGAAAGGCCCGCCAAAGACGGUAACAGCCCGGUAGUUGAAAUGGCUUUCCCUCCAGAGUGGAUCCUGAGUACGGCGGAACACGUGAAAUUCCGUCGGAAUCCGGGAGGACCAUCUCCCAAGGCUAAAUACUCCCUAGUGACCGAUAGUGAACCAGUACCGUGAGGGAAAGGUGAAAAGCACCCCGGAAGGGGAGUGAAACAGUUCCUGAAACCGUGUGCCUACAAGUAGUUAGAGCCCGUUAAUGGGUGAUAGCGUGCCUUUUGUAGAAUGAACCGGCGAGUUACGAUUUGUUGCAAGGUUAAGCGGAAAAAGCGGAGCCGUAGCGAAAGCGAGUCUGAAUAGGGCGCAUAAGUAACAGGUCGUAGACCCGAAACCAGGUGAUCUACCCAUGUCCAGGAUGAAGGUAAGGUAAUACUUACUGGAGGUCCGAACCCACGCACGUUGAAAAGUGCGGGGAUGAGGUGUGGGUAGCGGAGAAAUUCCAAUCGAACUUGGAGAUAGCUGGUUCUCUCCGAAAUAGCUUUAGGGCUAGCCUCGAGGUAAAGAGUCAUGGAGGUAGAGCACUGUUUGGACUAGGGGCCCUUCUCGGGUUACCGAAUUCAGAUAAACUCCGAAUGCCAUGUACUUAUACUCGGGAGUCAGACUGCGAGUGAUAAGAUCCGUAGUCGAAAGGGAAACAGCCCAGACCACCAGUUAAGGUCCCCAAAUAUAUGUUAAGUGGAAAAGGAUGUGGGGUUGCUUAGACAACCAGGAUGUUGGCUUAGAAGCAGCCACCAUUGAAAGAGUGCGUAAUAGCUCACUGGUCGAGUGACCCCGCGCCGAAAAUGUACCGGGGCUAAACAUAUUACCGAAACUGUGGAUGAACCUCUUUAGAGGUUCGUGGUAGGAGAGCGUUCUAAGGGCGGUGAAGUCAGACCGGAAGGACUGGUGGAGCGCUUAGAAGUGAGAAUGCCGGUAUGAGUAGCGAAAGAAGGGUGAGAAUCCCUUCCACCGAAUAUCUAAGGUUUCCUGAGGAAGGCUCGUCCGCUCAGGGUUAGUCGGGACCUAAGCCGAGGCCGAUAGGCGUAGGCGAUGGACAACAGGUAGAGAUUCCUGUACCAGUGCUAAUUGUUUAACCGAUGGGGUGACACAGAAGGAUAGGGAAUCGCACGAAUGGAAAUGUGCGUCCAAGCAGUGAGUGUGAGAAGUAGGCAAAUCCGCUUCUCNNNNNNNNNNNNNNNNNNNNNNNNNNNNNNNNNNNNNNNNNNNNNNNNNNNNNNNNNNNNNNNNNNNNNNNNNNNNNNNNNNNNNNNNNNNNNNNNNNNGCGAAGCAUGAGCUGUGAUGGGGAAGGAAAUUAAGUACGGAAGUUCCUGAUUUCACGCUGUCAAGAAAAGCCUCUAGGAAGAGUAGUACUGCCCGUACCGCAAACCGACACAGGUAGAUGAGGAGAGAAUCCUAAGGUGAGCGAGAGAACUCUCGUUAAGGAACUCGGCAAAAUGACCCCGUAACUUCGGGAGAAGGGGUGCUCUAUUAGGGUGCAAGCCCGAGAGAGCCGCAGUGAAUAGGCCCAGGCGACUGUUUAGCAAAAACACAGGUCUCUGCAAAACCGUAAGGUGACGUAUAGGGGCUGACGCCUGCCCGGUGCUGGAAGGUUAAGAGGAGUGCUUAGCUUCGGCGAAGGUACGAAUUGAAGCCCCAGUAAACGGCGGCCGUAACUAUAACGGUCCUAAGGUAGCGAAAUUCCUUGUCGGGUAAGUUCCGACCCGCACGAAAGGCGCAACGAUCUGGGCACUGUCUCAACGAGAGACUCGGUGAAAUUAUAGUACCUGUGAAGAUGCAGGUUACCCGCGACAGGACGGAAAGACCCCGUGGAGCUUUACUGCAACCUGAUAUGGAAUGUUUGUACCGCUUGUACAGGAUAGGUAGGAGCCGAAGAGACGUGUGCGCUAGCAUACGAGGAGGCAAUGGUGGGAUACUACCCUGGCUGUAUGACCAUUCUAACCCGCCACGCUUAGCGCGUGGGGAGACAGUGUCAGGUGGGCAGUUUGACUGGGGCGGUCGCCUCCUAAAGAGUAACGGAGGCGCCCAAAGGUUCCCUCAGAAUGGAUGGAAAUCAUUCGCAGAGUGUAAAGGCACAAGGGAGCUUGACUGCGAGACUGACAAGUCGAGCAGGGACGAAAGUCGGGCUUAGUGAUCCGGUGGUUCCGCAUGGAAGGGCCAUCGCUCAACGGAUAAAAGCUACCCCGGGGAUAACAGGCUUAUCUCCCCCAAGAGUCCACAUCGACGGGGAGGUUUGGCACCUCGAUGUCGGCUCGUCGCAUCCUGGGGCUGUAGUCGGUCCCAAGGGUUGGGCUGUUCGCCCAUUAAAGCGGCACGCGAGCUGGGUUCAGAACGUCGUGAGACAGUUCGGUCCCUAUCCGUCGCGGGCGCAGGAAAUUUGAGAGGAGCUGUCCUUAGUACGAGAGGACCGGGAUGGACACACCGCUGGUGUACCAGUUGUUCCGCCAGGAGCAUCGCUGGGUAGCUAUGUGUGGCAGGGAUAAACGCUGAAAGCAUCUAAGCGUGAAGCCCCCCUCAAGAUGAGAUUUCCCAUUUCUUCGGAAAGUAAGAUCCCUGAAAGAUGAUCAGGUAGAUAGGUUUGGAGUGGAAGUGUAGCGAUACAUGGAGCGGACAAAUACUAAUCGAUCGAGGACUUAACCAA